rnacentral:rRNA from 1 species
UACGUAGGGCGCAAGCGUUGUCCGGAAUUAUUGGGCGUAAAGAGCUCGUAGGCGGUCUGUCGCGUCUGCUGUGAAAUCCCGAGGCUCAACCUCGGGCUUGCAGUGGGUACGGGCAGACUAGAGUGCGGUAGGGGAGAAUGGAAUUCCUGGUGUAGCGGUGGAAUGCGCAGAUAUCAGGAGGAACACCGAUGGCGAAGGCAGUUUCUCUGGGCCGUAACUGACGUCCGAGGAGCGAAAG